CCGAGAAGACGAGGAGGGAGGAGAAAACAGAGAAAGAAAGAGGAAGAACUAGGAGAAGCAAAUACCAGAAAAAAAUGUGAGGGCAGUAAAGCCUGUUAAUUGACUACCAUUCUCCAUCUUCUUUUCCUCCAAUACAAGACACUUAUACAAAAUAUAACCCUAAAAGUUAUGGGCUUGGGUUGGGCCCAUCAAUACAAACCCAAAGUAGUAUGGCCCAAAAUAAUAAAAAGAUGUCCUCAUCAGUUGUCCUGCAUCAUUUGGCAUGCAUUACCUUUGAAAGGACAUUUUUUGGUUAAAAUCAAUGCCCUGCCUUCAGAUAAAGGAUGCAUCAGUUAAUUGAUGGAGAAUAGUGAGCUUAUCUGACAAGAUGGACUCUGCUACCUGAACUUGGUUUGAAAAGAAAUAAUUUAUUGGCUUGAUAAAUGUUUUCAUGGUUAAUUAAACAUAUUGUUAACAGAAAAAUAUACCAUGCUUUUUUGAUGUGAACUAAGUAGGCCUAAUGAACUUUGGGGUUUGUAAGAAUGCAUUAAUACAUGCUGUUGACUAAGAUAGUCUUGACCAGGAAGAGUAGUCAUGGAAUUCUGCUUAAGUAUGACCCAGCCUUAUGUUACUGUAUGAAAAUGCUUGAAAACCUUUUGCUUUUGCUUUUGCUUUUAUUUAUUAGUUUAUCAUUAAGAAACAAAUGAAUUAUUAUGCAUGUGAGAUGUUUUUAUCGUUAACUACAUCCAUAUCAGAAUCUUGAGUCCGAAUGCCUACGCCAUCACCUGGCAACUUUUGCCGAAUCCCUUAGCAAAGCGAGAAUCAUGAUCCACCCUCCUGUAAAGAGAUCAUUGAAAUCAGGGGAAUCUCUUUCUGCUUUAGUGGACACUGUGGACAAGGAACACAGGAGACUUCUUGCACGCAAGUCUAUAAUUGAAAAACGCAAAGAAGAACAUGAACGUCAACUUUUUGAGAUGGAACGAGAGGAGGAGGCGAAGAGGCUAAAACUGCAGAAAA